UAUAUAACCUAAAAAUUUCUCGUGGCAAAUAAUUAACUUCAAAUCAUAAAAUUAUUAUCUUUAGAAAAAUUUAUUCAAAGAUCUUUGAUGGCCUGUGGAAUUUAUUUAAAAUAUGUUUGACCGCGAACAAUAGAGAGAAACCGGAAGAAUUUAUAUGGAGAACAACGGAAACUAACCCCUGCGCUCGCUGGUAGCGAAAAGAAGUGUAAAUAAAUACACACCUUUGCACAAACCAGCGAACACAGUCGCACUUACAUAUAUAAGACAUUCGUAUAACCUAGCCAGUUGCUGCGGUGAACAGGAAUAAUAAAAAGAGAAACAGAAGAGGAAAGGACCGUUGAUAAAGAGAGGCGGCAACGGAAGCAACGCUGGAGACAUAUUAUACAUAUGAAACAGAACGAGAAGAAGAGAACGGAUACGGUUGGCGUGGCAUGUGGUACCACCCAACCGACCAAUCAGAACGGGAGGCGUUAUCUAGACGUAUAACAAUGCUUGGUGUAAUACAUAGUUCAGUGGUUCUCAACUACCCUCUAUUCAACUUUCUGACUGUAAAACGCCGAUACAAUCCGUAAAAAUCUCAUAUUUUUCAAUGUGAACGUACGAUCGAUCGAAUAAAAGCUAGAAACAUAA